GCAAGGUAGAGGUUCGCUUUGCUCAGUUGCGAAAUACGGUUCUGCCAAGCGUCUUUUCAACGAUUCGAUCGAACUGUCUACGAUUAUGUGAACGACCUGUGCGGUGGCCGGAAGCCACUACGUGCAAUAAUGGAUAGUGCUGCACCUUACGUCUGGCGCUGCUGUUGUUUACAUCGAUCACUGUGCGAGAACCCGGUUGACGUAGUAACGAUUUGUUAGCGAGGCAUCGAAUUUCCAUUUGGGAGAUCUCGUUGCUACUCUGCUGCAUAAAUUUUAGUUUUAUUUGGUGGAUAAAUAUGUUCGAAGUGAAACAAUGCCGAAGAUCCAGGAUUGAGGGCAUUGUAUUAUACGUCGGUGUGUGUCGACUCGUGUGACAUCAUGUCAACAGCACUCAUGAGGCCUGAGUGCAAACAGUUUGCUCCCAACAUUUUCAACAAAAGCAAGUGUGCGAAUUGCUUUCGUCAGAAGGAGGAACACAGCGCUGAGGCUCUGGAAAGCAACAGGGCGACGCGUACGAUAGUCAAGUGCGGUUACUUGUUCGUGGCGCCAGGAUGGGACUUCUCCAACCCACUCAACCGCACCAAGAGAUGGCAGCGCCGCUGGUUCGUGCUGUACGACGACGGGGAGCUCAGCUACUCUGUGGACGAGCACCCCGACACAGUACCCCAGGCAAGCAUUGAUAUGAACAAGGUGCUGGAAGUGGCAGAUGCUGAGAAAGUGACGGGGAAUGCAUUUAGUCUAGCGAUCACAGCACCUGAUGGCGUUCAUUUCGUCAAAGGCACCAGCCGUGAAGAAUGCCGUUGGUGGGCAGAUGGACUGUCAGUUUACCCAAGAUCCAAGGGGCGGCACAAAAGGAAUGCAACAUUUCCUGGAGGUCAGUCAUCAAGUAUACUUCCUCCUACACAGUCAGUCAGAGCAACUACUCCAAGCGACACACGACCACGCUUCAACAGCUGUCAUACUGAACCUUUACGACAACCUCCUCCAGCACCACAGCGCAAAUGGACUACGAGUGAAGCAGAUGUGAUACCAACAAGAGAUGUGACUUCACCAAAAUCAACCAUUGUCCCAUCAGAGUUGCACACCUCACCAACAACAGAAACAACCAAAGGGUAUGGUGACAAACCUGUGUCAUCAGCAUCACCACCAACAAGAGAUAAAAUACAAACAGAGGAAAAGAGUCGAACUAGACGUGUUGUAAAUAGAGAGAAACGAGGAGUAAAGUCAGCCCGAAGUUUCUCGGAAGAUUUCUCUGGUGUACCUGGUAUUCUUCCUUCGUGGCGAGAAAGGAAAAUGGCAUCAGCUGAUAUACAAGAUAAAACGGACUCAUCUCGGAGGAUACUGUUUGAUAAUUAUGAUAGUGAGAGCAAAAGAGAUGAAAAACUUAAGGAUAUUGCAGACUCUAUAACAAGGGUCCGCUACAAGCGAAAUGCUCCUAUUGCCAGUAGUCUCUACCUCCAUAAAGCCAGCAGCUUGAAGCCUACUCGAGAUGGUGAAUGUAGUGAGGAGGAACAGCAACUAAAAGAUCAAACGAAGAAACCAUUUAUCAAUCCUGCAUUGCGAGGAAUGACAGAAGCUGACACCAGAGAUGAUAAACUGUUACGGGAAAAAUCAAAUGUACGUGGAGAUCCUGAUGGUUGUGGACUCGACCUUUCAAGCCAAAGAUAUUCACCAAAUUCUGAGCUACGUGUUGAUCUCCCUGCAGAGGAACUGCUGAAUAUCAAGAAAGGCUGGCUAAUGAAAUUGGGUACAAAUAAGGAAUGGAAUAAACAUUGGUUUGUUCUUCGUGGUGCUGCCUUGAUGUAUUAUAGAGAUCCUACAGCAGAAGACAAUGGUAUACUGGAUGGUGUAAUUGACUUGAAUGGAGUCAGCAAUGUGAUUGAAGUACAAGUGGCCAGAAAUUACGGCUUCCAAAUAGAUACAUGGGACAGCAAGCAGUGUGUGCUAUCAGCUGUUACAUCUGGUAUUAGAGCAAACUGGAUGGUAGCACUCCGUCGAGCUGCAGGAUUGAAGGAUCCUGUUGUGGAUGGUGUAAUAGUGACUGAUGCAAAACUUGACAAUGACCUCGGAGGAAAUCAACUUUCUUGUAGGCCAUUGUUGGCAUGUGCAGAACCAUCCAUUGUCCCAAGCACUCCAGCAACGCCACGGUCUGUACUACUCUCUUCAGAUGAAGAGUACAGAACAGCUUCAGAAGGUGGAAGGAGGGAGAGUGAAGAUUGGGGUGAAUCUCUAACUCCUCUGCCGCCAUCUCCACCACUAAACAGGACACCUAUCUCAAGAGUUAAAGAGAAAGCCAGGUCCAGAUCAAACUCGAGAUCACGUGUAUAUAAAAGGUCAAGAUCAUCUCCUCCUUCAUCACGGCACUCUACUUUGGAUUCUGUUCGUCCUGAAGAUUUACUGGCAUGCUGUGGGGAACUUCCUGAAUCUGAUGCAGAGGAAAGCAUUGGUGUCGACUCGGUGAAGAGCUCUUUGUUUGACUCGGCAGAGAGUCAAUCAACAGAGGUAGAGGACUUGAAACGACGUCUAAGCAUUGCUCUGUGUGAUGUCAGUAUUGCAGAGAAAGAGCUUCUCAAACUACGGCAAAACAAAGUGGAAAUUGCUGCACUAGAAAAUAAGGUAAAAGAUUUAAUGAGUUCUUUGGAGAAAACCGAACACCAGUUAGAAGUUAGGACAAGAGAAGCAGAGGAGUUGGAAAGACUCAAAGAAAGUUACAAGCAGCUGCUAGAAGAGCACGAACAACUCCUGCUACGUUGGAGGCAGCAGGCAGUUGGCCCAGACUGGCGAUCAUUAUACGAACAGAUUAGUGACAGAUAUAGCAGGGAUGGCGAGAUUUGGCAACAGAAGCUGAAACAUGCCGAAGCAGCCUUGCAGGAAUCAGAGAAUCGUUGUACACAUUUGGAGAGGACUGUUGCGAUGGCCAGAGAGAACAGCCGUCACUCUUCAACUGUCACGUCACCUUCACGAGAGAUGCGACGGAGCUUCGGUUCACUGAGUGACCUAACAAACAUUGACCUUCGACGUGAUUUGUCAUCCCUUGACAAGGACAGAGUUUUGGAAGAGUGUGAUGAACUCAGAGCACGUUUUGAGAAAGCUGUGCAGGAAAUUAAAGCGAUGAAACGUGAAUUACGUGAGUCUCAUGCUCUUUAUGAUGAUCUUGAACUUAUAUGUAUUGCCCUGCGGCAAGAUGCAAAGAACCGCGAAGAAAAUGAGAGGGCACAGGCUGCACUUAUGGUGUCACGUAUAGAAGAUUUAACGUCAAAACUUACUUCUGCUGAGAAACAGGUUCGUAGCCUGAAGCAGAAGCUUUCAAAGUCAGACUCCCGAGAAAAAAGACGUUCUCUAUCUUUAAAGGGCAGAGAAUCAUUUCAGAUAUGUAAAGAACUAGAAGAAAAACUGGGAGAACUAGAAGCAAAAAUAAAUGCACUGGAAGCAGGACGACCAUUCACUGAUAUCCCUAAAUCAGUUAGGGUGUCAAGAAGUGAAUCGCCACAGCUAACACAGAAGGAACUGGGUAGCAAUGAGAAUUUGAAAUCUUCAUCAGCUCGUCUAAGGAGAAAGUCAUUAGAUAGUGCAACAAGCUCUGAGCCAAUGAAGGUUCUGAUUCGUCUGUCUGCACUGGAGUCAAAAGUGGCCAAAGCGACUGAAAGUUUGGCAUCAGAGACAGAUGAUGUAGACAUGACGACACAAAGUUCAUCACCAGAACAUCCAGAACACUCAGGUCUGCCAGUGGAGGUGAGUGUUGAACAAGCAGAAAGUGACAGAUGUUCUGAAGCAGAGGUGCGCUUACAUGCACUAGAUGCAAUGAUUGCAAAAUCAAGAGAAAAAGUACAACAGUGUUUGAACAUAAUGCAGACUUACAGAGAGUCUGUUGAUCAUUCUUCAGUGUUAGAUUACUUCUUAUCCUUAGAAUGUAGGUUGUCAGAAAUUAGAGAUAUUCUGCAGCAGUGCAACACACAGUACUGUGAGAGCGAACCAGAUAGGGUAUUUGACUCUGAGGAAGUACAAAUAAUUGGAGAUUCUGUAAAUUUAGUAGUAAGUCAACUAGAAAAUGUUUUGAGACAGAAGUUGUCAACACUUUUUGAAAAAAGAAAGUGUCUUUAUGCCAGUAACCAGUUAGACUACAAAGCAUCAUUAAAUCUUCUUGCAGAAAAACUGGCUUAUGAAACAGUUAUAAUAAGCAGGGUACUGCAAGCUGUUUUAAAAAGCAAAGAAAAUUUUUUGGAUUUUAAAAAGUGGGUAGUUGACAGUGAGAUUCUGGAAAGUAGUAGGCUAAUAUCAGCUCUUAAACUGAAGUUAAGUGGUACAAAUAACUCUGGUUACAAAAGUUCACAAAGCUCCCUUGAACAUCUUACAAAAAUUCUUUCUGAAAGAUUGCUUGUACAGGGGACUUUAGCUCUUUCUGAUGCAGUUCAGUCAAAAAUAGUGAAAGACACUGUAUGUUCUGGCACUCAAGAUACACAUAUCAUUAAUAUACUUCUGCAGAAACAGAACGAUCUUAGUAUGUGUGUGAGAAAAUACAAGGAAGAGAAAAUAGAUGAGUUAGCACAGUCUUUGGCAUAUGAGACUUUGAGCCACACUGAUGAAAUAGUUGAAGCAAACAACUGUAAACUAGAAGAUAAGAAGUUGAGAGAAGCUUGGACAGUUGCACAGGAAACAGUAAAUCAUGAACUUAUACAAGCUGAAAUAUCACAUGUUGCGAUGAGGUGCAGUCAAGCUUAUGAAUCUAGUCUGACAGCAGAAAGGCAAGCCAGUUUUACCUUUAUUGGAACACAGCGUUCAUUUUUGGAACAGUGGGCAGAAACGGUUGAAGAAAUUUUGAGGAAAGAAAUGGAAAUGGGUAUUGAAGAGCUGACAAAGAAGUAUGAAGAGUAUAUAAUAAGAUUGAAACAGAAUAAAGAUACUAUAAAGAACCUUAAUCACAGUCAAAGCACAAAAGACUCAAGAAAAUUGUUAGCAGAACUUGCAGAUGUGAUUGCUAAUAAAGCUUUAAUUGAUGCUAGAAUUAGUGUAAUUGUGCAAGAAAAAUCUUCUUCAGUAGUAGAUAGAUCACCUCUCCCACAACAGGUGGAAAACAGUGUCACAGAUUCAAAUGUAGUACACCUUUUAGACAGUGAACCAAUUCUUGCUAGACUUCUGGAUUAUGAAACACCCGAGACUAAUGUGAAACUUGGUUCAGAAUUUGAAUUCUUAUUUCACAAAUUUUAUUCUGAGUGUCAAGGAUUACUUGAUAGUGGCUCCAGUGAUAAACCUAACUAUCUAACUGGCCAGAAGGCGAAUCAGGAAUCUGUUCAAGAAGUUCUUAAGGAUCUUUAUUACCUGGAAAAAGAUCUAGAAGUUCUUCGUAAUCAUUUAACUUCUCAGGAAAUGUUGUGCUCAGCUGAAAUUGAUGCAGGAUAUCAACAUUUGACAGAUGUGGAAGAUUGUGAUAUGGAAGUAACUUGGCACAGUGUGUGUAGUAAAUGUUCCGCACUUCGAGAACAGGUGGCCAACUUAAAUAGGUACAUGCUGCAUGAACACCAGUGUUCGAAAUGCAUGGAACUACAGGAACAAAUGAAAAGGCUUGAAGAGAUCCACCAGGAAAGUGUAUCACUCUUGAGAAAGUCACAUCAACAGGAAAUGGAAGCUCUAAAAGCAGAGUUGGAGCAGCAACAGCAGGCUCUUAUUGCUCAACAUGAACAUGAGCAGACACAGUUAAAAGAAAGAGCCCGCCGCCUUGAACGUAGGCUUGGUACUCUGGACUCUGAAUACACGCAACAGGUGGAAAAUCUCAGAGCUGCAUAUCAAAAAACUCUAGCAGAAGGACUUGAAAGGGACAUUGAGGGUGAGGAGAACAUCAGGCAGAGAUAUCAAGCUGAAAUUGAACACCUCAGGGCUCUGUGUGAAAAAGGAUUGGUUGCAAUGGAAAAUUCUCACAGACGUAUAAUAGCUGAAUUGGAAGAGAAACACCGUCAGGAAUUGGAACAACUGCGGCUGGAAAAGGAACAGGCACUUGCUGAGGAAACACAGGCCACCCUUGCAGCCCUAGAUGCUAUGAGAAAAGCACAUGAAACUGAAGUUCAGAAAGAGAUUGCAAAAUUUAAGUCUGAAUUCAUAAAGAAGAUGCAGUCUACACACGACAUUGGUGCACUUCAUAAAGAGCAUGAGGCAGAGAUGGAAGAGAUAAAGAAAGAAAUUCUGUCACUGUCCGAGAAGUAUUCGAUCAAAUGUGUUGAGUCAGCAGCACUAGAAGAGCAACUGAGUGUGGCUAACAAGCAGCUUGCUGAAGCACAGCAACACAUUCUUCAGCUGGAUGCAAGGAACAAACAACUGAGAGCACAUUUAAUGUCUGAAGCAAAUGAGAUUUCAUCAGAAGAUGCUGCAGAAUUGUUAGAGCAUCAGGAAUCAAGAUUGCAAGAAAAGUGUGCAGAAAUACAGAAACUGCAACAGCAGUUGAAUGUUGCACAUGCUCAUGGGGAGGAGCUGAGUGCCCUGUGCUCACGCUUACGAUGAGUGCGGUGGUUGCCAUGGUGAUGGGGCUGUGCUGACAGCUCUGUGGAAUAGACUGCAACAGUUGGCAACUGCAUGGCCACCACAUGAGAAAGCUUCCGAGGUCGGUGUGUCAAACAGACAUGAUACAGACGGAGACAAAAAUCAGGAAGGACAAUGCUCCAUAUCCAAACAGCAUAAGGAACCGCCAGCUCUCGCCCCUGCAGAAUUGAUGCGGUGUCCAGAUAACAGCUGUUCACGAGACCUUCAGCAGUCUUUUUUAUGGUUUGUCCCCCUCCACUCCCCAUCGCCCUGUCCACUGGGUGGGAUGGUGGCCGAGCGCAAAAAGCUGUUCGAACACUAAGUGUGAGAAUGUCGGAGGAGGGGAGGGGAUGCAACAACACAGAUUCAAAAAAAGAUGAGUCAGGCAUCUUAAACUGUAAUAGCAACUCUGCAGCUCCAUUUAUUCUGCAAAAAAGAAACCAGUUUGCUUGUGCAAAUCAGACUGAAGACACCACUAGUGUCACUCCAGGUUUUACUCAGCUUGUAAUAGUGAAAACAAAAACACUAUCUAUUAAAAACAUAGCCUCAAAGUACUGUGUGAAGAAGCUGUAAUCGCAAUUUUUACACAAUUACAUUAAAUUUUUAGAAAGUUGAGUUAAAAUUGCUUGUGUUUACAAAGUAGUGUAGAGAUGUUGUGUGUGGGCAUGGGAGACCACCAGACUACUAAAUCUUUAGAAGUAAAUGUGUAAUAAAUCGACUUUUGAGCUUUAAUUUCAAGACAGUUGAGCCUAUUCCCAUAUUGUACUAUAUCAAAAUGGCACACAUAAAAUGGGACAUUUUUUUAUAAAGAAAAUUAAGCUCUUUUAUACAAAAAAAUGCUACACAUUUUUAUAUGGGAUAUAGAUUUAGUCCUUUUUAUAUUUCUUCUGUGAAUACAUAUGGCAUCAUUUCUUUACAAAAAAAAGAGAUUUGUUGAUUUUUUAAAUACAAAUUAGUGCUCCACAAGGACGGUGAUAAAAUAUAUUGCAGUAUAAAGUAGAAUUUCAAGGAGGUAACUGAAAGAGGAGGGGAGAUUUAUGGUCGAAUGUUCAUCUCUUUUCUAUGCAGAGAUAGUGGCUGUGCCACAGAUGACUGUCACUAUCAUGAUUGUUAAAUGAAGUGGCUCUCAUUCUCAGGUAUUGUCAAAGAGUAGCCAUUUCAGAUUUUGUGUCAUGCGUAAUUACAGUUGCCAUGUCACCUUAACAUUUAUAGUUUCUUGGGCAUUAUUUAUUUUCUAUGUAUGAAGUAUGUGUACAUUUAAAUUUUUGAGAUAAGUUAUACCAUAUGAGAUUUGUUGUGCAAGUGUGUGUGGAUUUUCUGCAAUAUCUUUAAUGGGCUUUAAAGCACAUUAUCUGUUAGCAACCAAAUAUGUACAUAACUGUAAAGUUCAUAAUUUAACAGUAUAUAGUUCUAUUUAUGACAGUUUACCUGAAGGCAAUUAACAAUGUAUUGCAUUAAUAAAAGCAGUUCAUUUAAACAAAAUGUAAAAUAACUGCACUCAUCAACCCACCUACGUUGUUUAUUUAGUUCUCAUAUAUAUUAAUUAUGUUGCAAUCAUUUGUGAAUCACCAAAUUAAUUCUUUGCUCAUGGUAUGUAUGUAUAUAUUGUACAUAUUGUAUGUAUGUAUGUACCAAGAGAAAACGCACGUCAGUUAUGUAAAAUUAAUUUGUGUAGAAUUAAAGCGAUAAAGUUUUGUACCAGUAUACAGUGUUUCCCUUCGUUUGGGUUCACAGAUUUGUUAACUGUUUACUGCAACAUGAUGUUAUGUUUUUGUGAUACUUUAUUUCAGAAUGCACCUUGUUAUGUACAGAUAAUUCAACACUAUAAACUAAAGCUGUAUGCCAGUUUUAUGUUAAAUGUUGCCAUUUCUUGAAGAAUGGAAUGUUAAAGUAUUGAAUGUAUAAUAAACUAUAUGCCAUGUGAA